AUUGAACGCUGGCGGCAUGUCUUACACAUGCAAGUCGAACGGUAACGCGGGGCAACCUGGCGACGAGUGGCGAACGGGUGAGUAAAGCAUCGGAACGUGCCCAGUAGUGGGGGAUAGCCCGGCGAAAGCCGGAUUAAUACCGCAUACGACCUACGGGUGAAAGCGGGGGACCGUAAGGCCUCGCGCUAUUGGAGCGGCCGAUGUCAGAUUAGGUUGUUGGUGGGGUAAAAGCCUACCAAGCCGACGACGCGUAGCUGGUCUGAGAGGACGGCCAGCCACAUUGGGACUGAGACACUGCCCAGACUCCUACGGGGGGCUGCAGUAACGAAUCUUCCGCAAUGCACGAAAGUGUGACGGAGCGACGCCGCGUGCGGGACGAAGCCCUUCGGGGUGUAAACCG
rnacentral:rRNA from 1 species